rnacentral:rRNA from 5 species
CGUACUGGAAAGUGCGGCUGGAUCACCUCCUUU